UGACUGAAUGAUUCACUCUUAAACCACUCUGCCUGAAAAGUGAGAAUGAUUCUGCUCUUGUUGGUCUCUUUAAGUCUACUGAAUUCAAAUCAUGCCUGACAGAGCCCCAAGGGAUGGACCCAGAAGAAUUGAAAUACCGUGAAGGAACAGCUCCUGCUUGUAGAGUUUCUAGAGCAGAAGAGUGACUGAAUCCAAAUAUCAGAGGUGAUGCUGGAAGACACAUGGAUCAGCAAGAAGAUGGAAGGAG